rnacentral:rRNA from 1 species
GGUUGAUCCUGCCAGUAGUCAUAUGCUUGUCUCAAAGAUUAAGCCAUGCAUGUCUAAGUAUAAGCAUUUAUACAGUGAAACUGCGAAUGGCUCAUUAAAUCAGUUAUCGUUUAUUUGAUAGUACAUUACUACUUGGAUAACCGUGGUAAUUCUAGAGCUAAUACAUGCUAAAAGUCCUGGCCUCCGGUCAGGAUGUAUUUAUUAGAUAAAAAACCAAUGUCUUUUGACUCCUUGGUGAUUCAUAAUAACUUGUCGAAUCGCAUGGCCUUGCGCCGGCGAUGGUUCAUUCA